rnacentral:rRNA from 1 species
UACGGGGGGAGCAAGCGUUGUUCGGAUUUACUGGGCGUAACGGGCGCGUAGGCGGCCUCCGCAAGUCGACUGUGAAAUCUCCGGGCUUAACCCGGAAAGGUCAGCCGAAACUGCGGGGCUAGAGUGCAGAAGGGGCAACUGGAAUUCUCGGUGUAGCGGUGAAAUGCGUAGAUAUCGAGAGGAACACCUGCGGCGAAGGCGGGUUGCUGGGCUGACACUGACGCUGAAGCGCGAAAGCUAGGGGAGCGAACGGG